rnacentral:misc_RNA from 1 species
GAAAUGCGAUAAGUAGUGUGAAUUGCAGAAUUCAGUGAAUCAUCGAAUCUUUGAACGCACAUUGCGCCUUUUGGUAUUCCUUAGGGCAUGCCUGUUCGAGCGUCAUCUAAACCUUCAAGCCCUGCUUGGUGUUGGGUGCCUGUCCCGCCUCCGCGCGCGGACUCACCUCAAAUCCAUUGGCGGCCCCCGCGUCGGCCACGAGCGCAGCAGAAACGCGAACUCGUGAGCCCGUCCGGGCGGCUCCCAGAAGCUACACCCACCCAGUUUGACCUCGGAUCAGGUAGGGAUACCCGCUGAACUUAAGC